rnacentral:misc_RNA from 1 species
GAGAUAAAGACUUAAUUGAGUUGAUUAUAAUUUAAUUCCGUUCGGCUCGAACUGAAUGCUCAACCCUAAACCCUGAGGAAUGCACACAUCUAAACAUUGCAUUCAGAAAAACGUAAAUCUAAUCAAUCCAUAACUAUGAUAACAAUAGCUUUUAGUCAUUCUAUUCCAAAUGCCAAACAGGAAGCGCAAGACAAAAUGACAAGUAAAGCGAACAGUAGUCAAUUCCAAAUAAAACAAGAAGGGUCUUAGAUUGUCAGCAAUUCACAUAAUAUUAUCUUACCUCCACAUUAACCUUAUCAUGUA